rnacentral:rRNA from 1 species
UACGUAGGGGGCAAGCGUUGUCCGGAAUCAUUGGGCGUAAAGCGCGCGUAGGCGGCCCGGUAAGUCCGUUGUAAAAGUCAAAGGCUCAACCUUUGAAAGCCGAUGGAUACUGCCGGGCUAGAAUCCGGAAGAGGCGAGUGGAAUUCCUGGUGUAGCGGUGAAAUGCGCAGAUAUCAGGAGGAACACCGGUGGCGAAGGCGGAUCUCUGGGCCUGUCCUGACGCUGAGGCGCGAAAGCUAGGGGAGCGAACAGG